rnacentral:rRNA from 1 species
UACGGAGGGAGCUAGCGUUGCUCGGAAUCACUGGGCGUAAAGCGCACGUAGGCGGCUUCUUAAGUCAGGGGGGAAAUCCUGGAGCUCAACUCCAGAACUGCCUUCGAUACUGAGGAGCUUGAGUCCGGGAGAGGUGAGUGGAACUGCGAGUGUAGAGGUGAAAUUCGUAGAUAUUCGCAAGAACACCAGUGGCGAAGGCGGCUCACUGGCCCGGUACUGACGCUGAGGUGCGAAAGCGUGGGGAGCAAACAGG